rnacentral:rRNA from 1 species
UACGAAGGGGCUAGCGUUGCUCGGAAUCACUGGCGUAAAGCGCACGUAGGCGGAUUGCUAAGUCAGGGUGAAAUCCUGGAGCUCAACUCCAGAACUGCCUUGAUACUGGCGAUCUUGAGUCCGGGAGAGGUGAGUGGAACUGCGAGUGUAGAGGUGAAAUUCGUAGAUAUUCGCAAGAACACCAGUGGCGAAGGCGGCUCACUGGCCCGGUACUGACGCUGAGGUGCGAAAGCGUGGGGAGCCAACAGGAGUUAAGAAACCCCGAUGA